ACGUGCUAUCUCUGUUUUUGUUGAUCAGCUCACGAGAGUGUUUAUCACAUGUGUUUAGAAGAAUAAUGCUACAGUGUAGAAAAGUGUAGAAUAUAUUUUUAUUAUUUUCCGUAUUCUGAUGAGUUUUGUUUGGAUUGAUUAUUAUUUAAUACACAUUAAUACGCGAUUUUCGUUCUUCUCGUUGAGUUCAUAACCUAACAGAUUAAUAUCUUUCGAUUCAAUCGAAUCAUAGUAUCGUUAAUUGUUUACAUUAUCAGAGAUUUGAGAUUUGCUAUUGCAUUGAUAUAAAUUACGACAAACAAAUUGAACAACCAGGUCCACUUUGUUCUGGCUCGAUAACUCCUAUUAUUGUGAUAUAAUUAAAGAUGUUACGUUCACAAAGUGAUCUCUGUCGUAAAUCAGACUGCGUCGUCUUAAUCUCAUACGAAAAUGGAUGAGUAAUGAAAGUUUGAUGAUCAUCAACCAAAAAGUUCAUAUUCCUUGGAAUGGAGACACACCUCAUACAGCAGAUUUGUUACGAUAUAGUCGGAGCUUCUAAAAAAAAAAAAAAGAGGACGUUAUCAGUAUGAGCAUUAAGAUCAACAAGUAAAUUUAAUUUCUUUCAUGGUAUUAUUCAAAUCUAAUAUAACAUUGAAUUGUCGAUGAUUAUAUGAAGUCAAAAACGAAAGAGAAGUUGUAAGAGGAAUAAACAUUUGUCAAAAGGAUCAUCAGCAAUAAUGUAUUCGAGUAAAGGCGAUCGAAAGGGAGGGGAGAAAAAAAAAGAAAAAAGAAAAA